UGACUGAAAAGGCAAAACCUCCGAAAGGGGGUGACGCAAAGUCUCCGAUCUAACGGACAUUUCCUAUGAUAGCGGGACCGCCAGU
rnacentral:ncRNA from 2 species